rnacentral:lncRNA from 1 species
CCACAAAGGCGUUGCCCAGCAGGCCCACGGCGAAGGCCGCCAGAUAUCCCUUCCACAAGAUAUUGUGGUAGAACUGAUGUCACAGUGCCCUCUGAGUCUGUCCCCAGUGUUCCCAGGUAUGAGUGGCUGAUGUGCCGGGCAACCCGGUGUGGAAAAUUUGAGGUGGAUUAUCAAUUUUGUUCGAUUAAGACUUGUUAACAAUGAACUCCUCCAUGAAGCAGGCACUGUUUCAGGCACUGCAAGAGAUGCCAUUCUGUUUUACGCCUAAGAAAUCAAAUGGUUACAGUUUAUGUAUUUGAUAUGAGAAAGGAGAAUUCUAUUUCAUCACCUUGGUGAAUAAAUGGUUCAUUUAAAAGGCAAGAUUUUUGACUAGAAAGAGACUCAAUUGGAGCUAUGCUCUUGGAACUAUCACCUUUAGUAGCAGUAUGAAGACUGGAAUGGCAUGAUUGGAGACAGACAGCCCAGUCAAGAAGCUGUAACCAUAGUCCAACAGAUGAGUAAUGGGGU